GCCCUUAUCGUAUAAUGACCAUUACACCUGUUUUGUAAUCAGGAUAUCGCAGUUUGAUUCUGUGUUGGGGCA
rnacentral:tRNA from 1 species